UCAGGUCAUUGGUGGAGUGAAGCCAAGAUUUCCAACUCAGUCACCUGAAGAGAUGGAGAUACCAUUCAUGGAGCUGGAGAUCCCUGAAGAUAUGGGAAUUCAGAAAACAAGCUAAGAUAAGGAUGUCAGCCCCCCAACCCCCAGACAUGUCUCAUGACCACUGAGUCAUGCAUCAAUGAUGGGUGUGGGUGUGUGGAUGGAUGUAGCCAAGCCCAUUGACCGAGGACUGAGACAUACUCCCCACUAAUCAACAAGUUAACAAGCUCUCUGAUGAGGAGGCAGUGAUUAAUGAACCAAUCGGCUUGCCCUGUAAGUGGGGAGUGAAAUUGGAGGGUGGGAGUAUGAUGGAUAGGGAGGGCUUGGAGGGAUGUGUGAGGCUGGCUCCUGGUCCACACUGAGACUAUCUGGGUGCCCAUUUACUUUGGCUAUAAAUGAGGAAGUGACUUCUUCAGAGGUUGUAGCCCAAAUUCAGGCCAUCCCAUACCCUUUAGCUUCUAUAAUGUCUCUCCUGUCUUCCCAUCUGUCCUUGGACCCCAUAUUCCCCAAGACAUGACGGGGUUCCAGGGAUGUCAGAUUCCCUGUGGACAUCUCACAGGCUCCAUCUCUCUGCCUGGAAUCAGUGCACUAGAAACUCCCUAUCCCCCCAUGGUUAGUGCUGCAGGGUCAGAAGAGCAAACAGGCCCCUACUCUCUGGUAUCCUUGCCCCCAUUAGCCUGCAGGGUCCUUCUGUAGGCCCUGACCCCUGGGAUCACAGAUGUACUAACAGGCUCCCACUGCCCCCUCCAUCCCAGGGUGAGCACCUGUCUUUUGUCUUUCCAUGGAGGAGUGGAAUUCUUUGAUUUCUGCUGUCACCCCUCCAAACAGGACAACAGCUGUCUCUCUGUUUGUCUCUCUGUAUCUGUGUUCUGAGAACGCCUCAGACUGAGGAUCCCCCAUGAUACAGCCAUGUCCUUUCUUUGAGACUGGAGUUCUUGAAGGACAGGGCCGUGCCUUGCCCCCUGGAUGAGGGGUCCCUAAGAAGAAUGAUUUUUCUCCUUCCUUCAAAGGUAGGAUCUAUGUCCCCUUGUCCUGGUGUCCUCUUCCACCUCCAUGCUCAGCAGGGCACCCUGGUGUUUCCUGGGAUGUGUGGUCCCAUGGGGCCUGACUGGCUGAUAAGGAGCCAUCUGCGGAGAAUGCAGGUGAUUGAACCCAUAAAAGAGUGACUGAGAGUUUCCUGGGGCUGCUGUAACAAAUGACCACAAAGGAUUCUCACAUGUUUAAGAGCUUGUUGCUCUCCCUCUCCCUCUCCCUCUCCCUCUCCCUCUCCGUCUCCCUCUCCGUCUCCCUCUCCGUCUCCCCACGGUCUCCCUCUCAUGCGGGGCCGAAGCUGGACUGUACUGCUGCCAUCUCGGCUCACUGCAACCUCCCUGCCUGAUUCUCCUGCCUCAGCCUGCCGAGUGCCUGCGAUUGCAGGCACGCGCCGCCACGCCUGACUGGUUUUGGUGGAGACGGGGUUU
rnacentral:lncRNA from 10 species